rnacentral:lncRNA from 1 species
AAUAGACCUACAACUUUUAUUCUUUAUAGUUUUCAAUUUGAGGUCGGUAACAGUAGUCAAAAUGGUCAUCUUUGUGACUGAUGCGUAUUCGAAGGCAAUCGGAGGGCGUCGGUCAUGCACAUACACAAGUAUAGUGAUGUUGACGCUAAUAGAUGUUGUUCUAAGUUAUAGAACAUGAAUAUUAUGAAGUAUAAUGAUGCUUAACAUUAAUAAAUGAUAUAUUAAAUAAGUUGAAUACGCAUACUAAGCACACACAAGAGAGACAAAUUGGGCGUGUGACGAAUAAACGUUGAAACGUCGUGAUAAGUGAUAAUGAACGAAAAAAGUGUUUUAAAUUAAAUUAAAUGAAUAUAAUAAGAUAUUGAAUAGUGUUAAUAUAAAACCAAUAAGUAGUCCUAGCAAGACUUAAACACUUGAAUGAACUU